AAAAUCAGAGGGUGGGCACACACAAAAAGAAAACAAAAAGGGGCAAACUCUCAUUGACUGGUCCCCAAACUGAGAAGAAGAAAGACACUCCCCACGUUCCCCUCACACACCAGAGCCUAGGGAGGCCCAGGUAUGGCUGCUGUAUGCUGGCCUGGAGCCACACUAUCAAUUAAGGGAUAAAGGUCUGUGUUGUAGAGCUAAAGAUUCCAGUCCAGCUGAUGAUCUAUAGGGGGAGCUGAAAAACACUUCAGCUCCCUGCUGUGACCCAGGUAAGAGCAGCUGACCUGAGCAGUCCCGGUUCCAUCAGAAGCGCUUGCCAUUUUGAUCCCGGACUAUCGGGAGUGCUGGACAAUCGGGUGCCUGACUAUUGGAGUUUUACUGUAUUAUUUCUUAACUGUCCAAUGCUUGCUUUUGUAAUUUUAACUGAGUUUUUUUUAGUCCAUAUAAAUAUAUAUAGUACAUGAGAAAUUAAUUAGUGAUACACUUCUGCAUUUUAGUUACCAGAUUUAAACCUAGGCUGAAGGAGGGACAGAUGACCAUAUGGCUAAACACUGGAUUAGAUCUCAAAUAGCUGGGAUACAUUGUUGUCUCUGCCAAAGGCUUUCUGUGAGACACAGAGAAAGUCAUUUAAUUUCCCCUGCUUCAGUUCUCCAUUUAUAAAAUCAGAUAAUAUUUUCUCCCAACACUUUUCUCUGUCUAAUUUAGGUAAUGAUAUGUUCUAGAAAGCACUGACUCUUAAUAUGUUUAUGAAACAAUGCACUAUGAGGAUCCAAUCUUAGUUAGGACCUGUAGAUACUACCAUAAUACAGUUAAUAAGUAUUGAAAUUGGUGAGUUAAAGGACAGAUUUAAUUGAAUACUCUUUGAAUGUCUUCUUUAGAUAACUGAAUUGAUUAAUAGAUUUUUAGGACCAGAAGAAAUGAUUGUGAUCAUCUAGUCUGACCUCUCUAAUAAGUCAUCCCCAAAAUAAUUCCUAUUACCGUAUAUAUCUUAUGUAAACAUUGUUGAGCAAUCUCUAUCACUGACAAUACUUGGUACAUUUUUCCAGUGUUAAAAAUGUACACCUUAUUUCCAGGUUGGCUGGAAGUUGAAACUAAAAAAAUUCAUUCAUAAGAAGUGGGUACAAGAAGCAGGGGAAGGCAUUGCCGUCCAAGACAGAGGCAUGGCCCUGCCCACACUUGGCCUCCACAGCACCCCUGCUUCAUUGCUGCUCUGGAGCUGCCCCCAGCUCCAGCCACGCAGAAGCUGUGAUUGCAUGCCACCUGUCUUCCCCCUGUUCUAGGACCAGGGGAGGGUUCACAUGGCGGGCUGGAGGCCUGCCCUGUGGUGGGGCGAGGGCUUGACUGCUAUUGGGUAGAGGGCUUGAGCAAAAGAAGCAAGGCUGGAGGCUUGACUCCCCAACCCAAGGUUCACUUACUACCCAUGCAGCCAUUGGCUUGUGUUAAACAUUCUCCACUAUACUCAGGAGCCCAUUAUUAAAUAUUUGUUCUCCAUGUCAAUACUUAUCAAUAGUAAUCAAAUUAUCCCUUAACCUACUCUUUGCUAAGAUAAUCAAAUUUAACUCUGAGUCUGUCACUAUCAGCAUGUUUUCUAAUCCUUUAGCUUGUUCUUGGGGCUCUUGUUCAGACCUUCUCCAGUUUUUUAGCAUCAUUGAAUUGUUGCUACCAGAACCAGAUUCAGAAUGGUACAGUUAUUCUAGCAACGGUGUCCAGUGCCAAAUACAGACACAAAAUAACCUCUCCACUCCUAUUUGAGAUUCCCUUGUUUAUGCAUCCUACAAUCACAAUUAGCUCUUUUGUUCAGAGCAUCACCCUGGGACCUCACAUGCAGCUGAGUGCAUUCGUUGUUCCUAGAUUUAUACAUUUAGCCAUAUUAAAACCCAUAUUGUGUGCUUGCACACAGUUUAUCAUGUGUUUCAGAUUGGUUUGUCUGUUAACCCAAAAAUAGAGGGAGUGGUAAUCUACAAACUAUACCAGUGAUGAUUUUUUUUCACAUUAAUACAAAUAUUAAAUAGCUUAGAGCCAAAAAGAAAUUUCCAUGGGACCUCACUGGAGACAUACUUGCUUAAUGAUAUAUUGCAAAAUAUAGCUGUAAACAGGGAACUAUCAGCCAGCUUUUAAUCCAUUUAAUGUGUGCUCUGUUAAUUUUAUAUUGCUCUGAUUAUUUAAUCAAAAUGUCAUGCAAUACCAAAUCAAAUACCUUAGAGAAAUCAAUACCACUCUGCCAGCACUGUUACCAUUAUCAGUAACAUUUUCAGUGUCAUAAAAAAGUAUCAAGUUGUUUGAGAUGUUCCAUUCUCCAUAAGUGCAUAUUGACUUGCAUUAAUGAUAUUAUCCUCUGUACUGGGUUGGCAGCAAUCCCUUCUCCUCUGGCUCUGUGGGAAGCCACUACAUCUCUGUGAUGUUGCCCCCUAGCUGGGAUUAGAACUCCCACCACUAGGCAGGAUAGCACAAUUUAAUCAUUUUAAGGCCCAGGCAGGGCAGAGCGAACAAGUAAUUGGAAGCUCAGAUUAUUAAGCAGGGCAAAGCAUCAAGAGACUGCCUAGGUCCUCUGGCCCCAACCAGGGCAGAGCAAACAAAGAGCAGUUAGAGAAGAAACAGGCAACCCAGGAGCAGAUGGAGUAAACAGGCCUCUUUAUUGCGGAUACUAAUUCUCCUCAGACCCUCAACACAAUCUGCCAAGUGAGCAAUGAUUUGGCACCAGUCACACUCCUUUAUCCAUUUUAGUAUGUUAAUUCACACAUCUAUCACUACUUCUCCUAAAUCCUUAUUUAGUAAUUAAUAUUAAUAGGCAGAUGAUGAUUAAUAUUAUAUUCCACCAGUUUACUGUUUACAGGAUUUUCAGUUAGAUCAGCACUUUUCUACAUUACAUACUUCCCAAAUCAGCAGGUUACAGAGAUUACAAAGGAUGUUACCCUGAAAGUAUUUUUACAGAGCAAGUUGGAAUAAGCAAGAGACAGAGACAACAUUGUUCAGUCCAACUAUCUUUCUAGGCUGAAAGAAUGAAGGAAAAAGGCAUAUAUUUAUACAUCAGAAAGGACAAUACCUGCUCUGGCCAGACCCUUUAUCAAUCUUUCCAGGCUGUAAGGAUGAAGGGGAAAAAACAUGUUCAAAGGACAAUGUCUGCUCUGGUCGGACCCUACCACUAAUGUAUAGCCAUCUCAGACACCUAUUCUUACAUAUCCCAACAACAGCCUGACUUCCUGGCUCUUGCAGAUGGCAGACAAAUGCAGACCUCUUAGCCUAAGGUAGAGAGGCUGCCACCCCACGGGAGGAGUUGGCAGCAAGAGGAUCCAGGGCUACCCUAUUCCAUGAAGCCAGCCUAGCACUAGCAGUGGCCCAAUCCUCCUCUGGUGGGUCAUUAGGGAUACUACCUCAACACACUGAGCUGGAUUCAGGCAACAGCCCAAUUAGGCUAUAGAUUAGUGUUCCUCAGCUCCUUCCUACUCUUCCUCUAAUGUACCUGUGGCUGGCUCAGGGUUAUCUGCCAUCUCUUUGAGGUAUACACCAAGUGGUAGUUCUGACAGGUCUUCACCUGGGUCAGUCUCUUCUACUGGCAGGGUAUGACAUAGUGCAGUGCAGGUUCUGUUCCAGGAAUCUGCAACAGCCUAGAAACACCUGCUCACUUCCCUUGCUCAGAUUCAGCUGGGUUAGAGGCUCUGUCUUUUGCACUAGCUCUCCUUCCCCUUUUGCUUCUGAUAGGGGAGGCAAGUCUGGCUUGGCUCUGUCCACCAGGGAUCAGAGAUUAGUUCCUCCACCUCACUGAGAGGCCACUCCGCCUCAUUGUCUUCCCCUCCCCAGCCCUUUAAAUUCUUUAUCACUAGAGUCCUGUAUCAGCCACUCCGUUAUUGGGCACAGGAUCAACCUCAGUCUGACAGGUUUAUAAAUAUUUAGGUCAUCCUAUUUACUCCUUUUAAAGAUUGGAACAUUAUUAGCUUUCCUCUUAACUUCUGGAGCUUCCCCAUUUUUCCAAGGCUUACUGAAAACCGACUGUCCCUAUCCAAUGGCUUCCUCAGCGGGCUCUUUUAAAACUCUUGGGUGCAAGUUAAUUGGACCUACUGAUUUGAAGAUUUUUAACUGUUAUAGCUGCUGUUAAACAUUCUCCAGAGAUACAAAUGCAAUGGAAAAUGUUAUCAUUAUAUAGUGAGACUAUUGUUUGUUUCCCCCUCAAAUACAGAACAGAAAUAUUCAUUAAACUGUUCUGCAUUAUUACUAAUAGUUCUACUGUAGCCAUAUACUAAUGGACUAAUACCAUUGCCAGGAUUCCAUUUUGUUCCUAAUAUAUAUUUUUAAACCACCUUAUUGUCCUUAACUGAGCUGGCCAUAGAUUUUUCCCUUUACCUUCCUUAUUGAUUUUCUACAAUUCCUAGGUUCUGAUUUAUAUUCAUUACCUUCAGCUUCUUCCUCGCCCUACCCCCUACCCCACCCUUUUUUUUUUAAAUAGUGCCAUUCACUUCCCUGCUAAACCAGGUCAGUUUUCAAAACAGUACAGCCUUCUGUCUUGAGUGAGGGAUUGUGGCUUUUGGGGCAUCUAGUAAGGUGUUCUUAAAUGAUUCCUAAUUAGGGAUGUAAUAGUGAAGUUGAUUAACUGAUAAGCAAAAGCAUUAGAUUAAUGCUAUAGAUUACAUGCAUUGUCCCCUGCCCUCACCAGUAAAUAUUUUAGCAGAUUGGCCAGCCGCCCAGCUCAGUCCUAGCUUGCAGCAGGUCUAAGAUCUACCCCUGCUGAAGCUCUGUAUUGAAAGUGCUUUAGGAUACAGGCAGACAGGCAGCUUGGCUGAGUUCUGGUUUGCACUGGAUCUGGAAGCUCAGAUCCCCCUGGACAAGGGCUACUGCCACCUCACACUGCUGCCUCUGUAUCAGAGGCAGCAGCAUUGGGCGACAGGUAGCCAGUCCACGGAGAGAACUGGUUUUUAAACUGGCU